AAACACUAGCAUGGCCCCUGUGCAAGGAUGAUGUGCAAAUUUGUGAAAUGUUCCAUAUAUUU
ensembl:snRNA U6 U6 spliceosomal RNA